rnacentral:rRNA from 1 species
CCAGACUCCUACGGGAGGCAGCAGUGGGGAAUAUUGCACAAUGGGGGAAACCCUGAUGCAGCGACGCCGCGUGAGUGAUGAAGUAUUUCGGUAUGUAAAGCUCUAUCAGCAGGGAAGAUAAUGACGGUACCUGACUAAGAAGCUCCGGCUAAAUACGUGCCAGCAGCCGCGGUAAUACGUAUGGGGCAAGCGUUAUCCGGAUUUACUGGGUGUAAAGGGAGCGCAGGCGGCCUGCCAAGUCUGGUGUGAAAACCCGGGGCCCAACCCCGGGCCUGCAUUGGAAACUGGCGGGCUGGAGUGUCGGAGGGGCAGGCGGAAUUCCUAGUGUAGCGGUGAAAUGCGUAGAUAUUAGGAGGAACACCAGUGGCGAAGGCGGCCUGCUGGACAGUAACUGACGUUGAGGCUCGAAAGCGUGGGGAGCAAACAGGAUUAGAUACCCGCGUA